rnacentral:rRNA from 1 species
UGAACGCUGGCGGUAGGCUUAACACAUGCAAGUCGUGCGAGAAAGUAUCUUCGGAUAUGAGUAGAGCGGCGGACGGGUGAGUAACGCGUAGGAAUCUACCUAGUAGAAGGGGAUAGCCCGAGGAAACUCGGAUUAAUACCGUAUACCUCCUUCGGGAGAAAGAAGGCCUCUCUUUGAAGCUUUCGCUACUAGAUGAGCCUGCGUAAGAUUAGCUUGUUGGUGAGGUAAAGGCUCACCAAGGCUACGAUCUUUAGCGGGUCUGAGAGGACGAUCCGCCACAUUGGGACUGAGACACGGCCCAGACUCCUACGGGAGGCAGCAGUGGGGAAUAUUGGACAAUGGGCGAAAGCCUGAUCCAGCCAUACCGCGUGUGUGAAGAAGGCCCUAGGGUUGUAAAGCACUUUAAGUUGGGAAGAAAAGUUAUUGGUUAAUACCCAAUGACCGUGACAUUACCAUCAGAAUAAGGACCGGCUAAUUCCGUGCCAGCAGCCGCGGUAAUACGGAAGGUCCAAGCGUUAAUCGGAAUUACUGGGCGUAAAGCGCGCGUAGGUGGUUUAUUAAGUUGGGUGUGAAAUCCCCGGGCUCAACCUGGGAACUGCAUCCAAAACUGAUUCACUAGAGUACGAUAGAGGGAGGUAGAAUUCACAGUGUAGCGGUGGAAUGCGUAGAUAUUGUGAAGAAUACCAAUGGCGAAGGCAGCCUCCUGGAUCUGUACUGACACUGAGGUGCGAAAGCGUGGGUAGCGAACAGGAUUAGAUACCCUGGUAGUCCACGCCGUAAACGAUGUCAACUAUCUGUUGGAAAGCAUUGCUUUUCAGUGGAGCAGCUAACGUAAUAAGUUGACCGCCUGGGGAGUACGGCCGCAAGGCUAAAACUCAAAUGAAUUGACGGGGACCCGCACA